AUGAUAGAAAGGAUGUGUUUGGCAAAUAGCUGAUUGUUUGACAAAUAACUGAUAGCUGAUUAAGUUAGCUAAUAGUUGAUAGCUAAUUGGGUUAGCUGGUUUGACUAACUGAUAGUAUUAGCUGGUUGUAAAAAAGUAUUUGGUAAAUAGUUGUUUAC